UCUGACUCUCCUCUUUUCCCCCUCGUUCGUUUUCCACCUUACUCCGCCGCUCCUCGCCGCCUCCUUCUGUCUUUAAUCGACUCCAGCUCGCCCUCCUGCAAUUCCUUCCACCAUGGCAGCAUUCUUCUUUGUCCUACCGGAUCUAAGAUCUUCUUUACUUCCGCGCCGCCUUUCCCGUGCGUGCCGGCAGCGGCUCAUGACCUGCCUCCCAGCGCCCCCCCUCUCCACUGACGAGCGAGUGAGCUUUUUGGUGAACUGCUACGCUCUUGGUAUGAGCCGUCAACCCCCAAUAUCUGGUUCUCUUGAAUCUUUUGGUUUCGAUGGCGCCGGUUCCGUGAUCUAUACGCAUUUGGUUGUCGGUAAAGAAGGUUCGAACAAAAACCCCAGCUACAAAUUUUCCUCUUGUCCUUUAUUCUCGUUGAGCUGGUCUGAGUUUACAUCAACAAAAUCUGUAGCCUCUUUUUUCCACUAUCAUACAUUUGGUCAAAAUGUCACAAGAGCAUGUACCCAGUGCUCAUGUGACAGAUUCUGGAAGAAAAAGGCUAGUACUAGAAAUAUGUUCCAGUUACUUUAUCCUGUACUAGAAAAAAUAUGAAACAUAUCAUAAUUAUUUUGAUUCCCCUGAUUGAUUGACUAUGCUUGGAUAGAGUUGAAGUGUAUUUCCGAACUCAGUAAUUUUUAAUACUCAGUAUGAUGCAACCUAUAUUUGUUUGUUUAUAAUUACAUAGUUUUUCCCCCUUGAGGUAGUGAAGCUACUGCUUUACCUUUGAAUAUUUAUUUGUUUAUUAUUUUAGCAGCUCUAUUCCUUCAUGUUAAAAUUACUUUCUUACCAGAUUCUGAUUAUGCAUUAUUUUGCUAGACUUAAAAAAUUGCAGUACGCUGAACAUAUCUAUAUACUAUAUAUAUAGAUGCAUACAGUUUCUUUAAGAACUGAUGCAUACAGUUUAUGAGCUUGCACUUACCAACAUUCAGUUGUAGUAAUAAUGUUUUUUGGAAUCACUGUGAACCAAAGCUGCAAUAUGGUUACCAUGUUUUUUUUUUCUUCAGAAUCCAUGUCAACCAAUGCUACAAUAUGGUUGACUAAGUAUUAUUAUUAAUCGAUCAAGAGUGACUAAGUACUAGUGAUAAUUUUGAACUGCUGAGGAGAUACUCUGUCCUUACCGGUACCUGAGGAUUUGGAAGAGAAGCUCCAGAAGAUUGAUGCAAGGCUGGGACCACAUUUUGUGUAUGAUUAUAACCAAAUGUCAUACUGUUACGACCAUUGUCUUGUGAAUUUGAACAAGAAUGUCUAACAUACCCACUUGCAUGUCUCAAAAACUUGGUUACAAUAAUCUUGAUUUACCACCCUUUUCUUGAUAUGGUAGAUAAAUUAUCUAUGUUUGCAGAUUAUAUUUUCUCGCAACCAUAGUAGUUCUUGCAAUAUUGACAAAUCAUUAGUUCCUGAUUUUAGUUGUUUUUAUUCAUAAUGGUAGUAUGUACAACACACCAGACAAACUAGCAUAUUGCCGGAUAUUCAUCCAACAUAUUAGUAUAUUUGUGAACCGCAGUUUAGAUUUACUGUAUACUUUUUAUCUAAAAACCCUCCAUAUACUACCGGAAAUUCUUUAAUGUCAUUAUUUUGAUAUGUGAUGUGUUCUACACUCCUUUGUCAUGUGAAGCUGAUUAGUAGCCAAGCAUGGUAACGGCAUGAGGUUGUUAUUAGUUAUUGGUUUGGUUACCUGUUAAUUGGCCUAGUGAAUAGUGGUAGUCUAUCAUCUCUAUUCAAACUUGUGGACACUUCUGUGUUACUGAUAUGUUACUUCUAUGAAUUUUAUACUAUAGUUUAUACACUUCUUUAGUCCAUCUUUUAUACUAUAGUCCAUCUAUUAUGAUGUAGAGAAGAGUAUGCAUUCCAACUCUUAUUAUGACUUGCACCUCUAAUUGUGCCUAGCAAAACAUCUCUUUUUUUUUCUUCACUUAUUCUGCCUAGCAACUCUAAUUCUGCUUUAGCAAGACUACUCUGUGAGUUAUCAUCACUAGUUCCUGCACAAGUGCUGGCACAAUAUAAGAAACUAUGGUUUAAGAAUAUUGUUCAUGUAUUCUAUAAGCUUGCUUAGUAGUAUACUAUAUGCACAGCCAUUGGACUAAGAACUUACUCACACUUGUAAUUUCUUUUGCCUGCUGUUUCCACCUUUUGGUUGUAUACUACAAAAAAAAGUUAUAUGGUCCAGAUGUGGUUAAUUUUUAUCUUUUUGGUAUUUUGUGCCUCGAGUAACCUUUAUGGACAUGCGCUCAUCUCAUGACUAUCUUCCACUGUUGUAGUACAUAUGGCUCCGAUACACAUACUGAGCUGUUGUAGUACACCAUAUGGUGCUUCACCAAAUCUAUCCAUCUUCCACUGUUGUCAAUUGCUGUGGAAAAGAGAAACCAGCUACAUGGAGGAUUUAUGGACCUAAAGCAUAUCAUUAUAAUCUACUUUUUCAUAUGGAGCUCCAUGAAGUCUCAAGAUGGUCCCACCGAUUCAAUCUUCAUCUUGUAACAAUCAGCCAUUUUGAUUCUGGUGUCAAGAACGAUAUAUACUUAACUACAUAUGGUAGCCAUCUUAUUUUUUUAUGUAGAGAAGACUAUAAGCUUCGUUACACAUGCUAUACAGAUCAAUAAGCGUCUUGUUUGGA